GAUGAACGCUGGCGGCGUGCCUAAUACAUGCAAGUCGAGCGAACGGACGAGAAGCUUGCUUCUCUGAUGUUAGCGGCGGACGGGUGAGUAACACGUGGAUAACCUACCUAUAUGACUGGGAUAACUUCGGGAAACCGUAGCUAAUACCGGAUAAUAUUUUGAACCGCAUGGUUCAAAAGUGAAAGACGGUCUUGCUGUCACUUAUAGAUGGAUCCGCGCUGCAUUAGCUAGUUGGUAAGGUAACGGCUUACCAAGGCAACGAUGCAUAGCCGACCUGAGAGGGUGAUCGGCCACACUGGAACUGAGACACGGUCCAGACUCCUACGGGAGGCAGCAGUAGGGAAUCUUCCGCAAUGGGCGAAAGCCUGACGGAGCAACGCCGCGUGAGUGAUGAAGGUCUUCGGAUCGUAAAACCCUGUUAUUAGGGAAGAACAUAUGUGUAAGUAACUGUGCACAUCUUGACGGUACCUAAUCAGAAAGCCACGGCUAACUACGUG
rnacentral:rRNA from 1 species